rnacentral:rRNA from 1 species
UACGUAGGGUGCGAGCGUUGUCCGGAAUUACUGGGCGUAAAGAGCUCGUAGGUGGUUUGUCGCGUUGUUCGUGAAAACUCACAGCUUAACUGUGGGCGUGCGGGCGAUACGGGCAGACUGGAGUACUGCAGGGGAGACUGGAAUUCCUGGUGUAGCGGUGAAAAUGCGCAGAUAUCAGGAGGAACACCGGUGGCGAAGGCGGUUCUCUGGGCAUUACCUGACGCUGAGGAGCGAAAGUGUGGGGAGGCGAACAGG